rnacentral:rRNA from 1 species
UACGUAGGACCCGAGCGUUAUCCGGAUUUACUGGGCGUAAAGAGUUGCGUAGGUGGCAGAGUAAGUCAGUAGUGAAAGCGUGUGGCUCAACCAUACUCACAUUACUGAAACUACUCAGCUUGAGGACGAGAGAGGUAACUAGAAUUCCAAGUGUAGGAGUGAAAUCCGUAGAUAUUUGGAGGAAUACCGAUGGCGUAGGCAGGUUACUGGCUCGUUCCUGACACUAAGGCACGAAAGCGUGGGGAGCAAACGGG